AGAAUCAACGCUGGCGGCGUGCCUAACACAUGCAAGUCGCACGAGAAAGGGACUUCGGUCCUGAGUAAAGUGGCGCACGGGUGAGUAACACGUGAAUCAUCUACCUCCGAAUGGGGAAUAACUGAGAGAAAUCUUAGCUAAUACCGCAUAAUACCUACGGGUCAAAGCAGCAAUGCGUUUGGAGAGGAGUUCGCGGUCGAUUAGUUAGUUGGCGGGGUAAUGGCCCACCAAGACGAUGAUCGAUAUCCGGCCUGAGAGGGCGCACGGACACACUGGAACUGAAACACGGUCCAGACUCCUACGGGAGGCAGCAGUGGGGAAUUUUGCGCAAUGGGGGAAACCCUGACGCAGCAACGCCGCGUGGAGGAUGAAAUAUCUUGGUAUGUAAACUCCUUUCGAUGGGGAAGAUAAUGACGGUACCCAUAGAAGAAGCCCCGGCUAACUCGCGCCAGCAGCCGC
rnacentral:rRNA from 1 species